UAUAAUUCUAGUUCUCACACCCAUGGUACCU
rnacentral:piRNA from 1 species